AUUGAACGCUGGCGGCAGGCUUAACACAUGCAAGUCGAGCGGGGUGAUGGUGCUUGCACUAUCACUUAGCGGCGGACGGGUGAGUAAUGCUUAGGAAUCUGCCUAUUAGUGGGGGACAACAUUUCGAAAGGAAUGCUAAUACCGCAUACGUCCUACGGGAGAAAGCAGGGGAUCUUCGGACCUUGCGCUAAUAGAUGAGCCUAAGUCGGAUUAGCUAGUUGGUGGGGUAAAGGCCUACCAAGGCGACGAUCUGUAGCGGGUCUGAGAGGAUGAUCCGCCACACUGGGACUGGAACACGGCCCAGACUCCUACGGGAGGCAGCAGUGGGGAAUAGUGGACAAUGGGCGGAAGCCUGAUCCAGCCAUGCCGCGUGUGUGAAGAAGGCCUUAUGGUUGUAAAGCACUUUAAGCGAGGAGGAGGCUACUUUAGUUAAUACCUAGAGAUAGUGGACGUUACUCGCAGAAUAAGCACCGGCUAACUCUGUGCCAGCAGCCGCGGUAAAAC
rnacentral:rRNA from 1 species